CUUGGUCAUUUAGAGGAAGUAAAAGUCGUAACAAGGUCUCCGUAGGUGAACCUGCGGAGGGAUCAUUACCGAGUGAGGGCCCUCGCGCCCGACCUCCAACCCUUUGUCGAUUUCUAUCUGUUGCCUCGGGGGGCGACCCGGCCGUCCGCGCCCGGGAGUCCCCCAGAGGACCAAUCAACUCUGCAUCUCUGCGUCGAGUAUUGAAUAAUAAAUCAAUCAAAACUUUUAACAACGGAUCUCUUGGUUCUGGCAUCGAUGAAGAACGCAGCGAAAUGCGAUAAGUAAUGUGAAUUGCAGAAUUCAGUGAAUCAUCGAAUCUUUGAACGCACAUUGCGCCCUUUGGCAUUCCGAAGGGCAUGCCCGUUCGAGCGUCAUUACACCAAUCAAGCCUGGCUUGGUCUUGGGCGUCGGGAGACCCCGCGCCCCUAAUUCAUCGGCUGGACGGUUCGAAUCUCAGCGUUGUGGUCAUUCAAUUCGCUGGCGAGGACGACCGGACGCGCCGUUAAACCUCUUAUCACAGGUUGACCUCGGAUCGGGUAGGGAUACCCGCUGAACUUAAGCAUAUCAAUAAGCGGAGGAAAAGAAACCAACAGGGAUUGCCCUAGUAACGGCGAGUGAAGCGGCAACAGCUCAAAUUUGAAAUCUGGCGCAAGCCCGAGUUGUAAUUUGUAGAGGAUGCUUCUAGGCAGCGGCCGGUCUAAGUUUCUUGGAACAGGACGUCAUAGAGGGUGAGAAUCCCGUAUGUGACCGGUUGGCACCUUAUACGUAGCUCCUUCGACGAGUCGAGUUGUUUGGGAAU
rnacentral:sRNA from 1 species